UUUUUGCCAAUAUUUUAUUUUAGAAUUAUGUUCAGCAAUGUGACCAUCUAUUUGCUCAAGUUUCAACUUAAUACUAAGUGCAUCUUUUUGAAGAGCAUGUUCAUUUUCUUGGAUUACUUUUAGUUCUUGUAGUAGAUUACGAUGUUCUUUCUGGAUCUCUGGUAAAGAUUCCUAAAAAUCAAGAGGAAAUGCUUCAGAUAUGACCUUCCCAGUUGGAAAGAACAGAAAAGUUGGACAUUUUCCAAAACGGCAUUCCUCAAACAUGGAUUCCCAUUAAGAUCUGGUACCUGGUCAAAAAAUAUUAUUUAUUUCUACAGGUUAAAAGAUUAGAACCCAAAAUUUGUAUACCAUGCCAAGCUUAGAAGAUGUAUACUGGAAAAAGGAAGAGAUGGACAGGCAACAAGUUAGACUAAGAUUAUUUCAAUCUCCAAAUUACUAAAG